AUUGAACGCUGGCGGCAGGCCUAACACAUGCAAGUCGAACGAGUGGCGGACGGGUGAGUAAUGUCUGGGAAACUGCCUGGUGGAGGGGGAUAACUACUGGAAACGGUAGCUAAUACCGCAUACCAUCGGAUGUGCCCAGAUGGGAUUAGCUAGUAGGUGGGGUAAAGGCUCACCUAGGCGACGAUCCCUAGCUGGUCUGAGAGGAUGACCAGCCACACUGGAACUGAGACACGGUCCAGACUCCUACGGGAGGCAGCAGUGGGGAAUAUUGGACAAUGGGCGCAAGCCUGAUGCAGCCAUGCCGCGUGUAUGAAGAAGGCCUUCGGGUUGUAAAGUACUUUCAGCGGGGAGGCGUUACCCGCAGAAGAAGCACCGGCUAACUCCGUGCCAGCAGCCGCGGUAAUUC
rnacentral:rRNA from 1 species